rnacentral:lncRNA from 1 species
UUAGGUUUAGGGUUCGUGAUCGGGAGUUCUCAACGGUUAGGGUUUAUCAUCGAGGGGAUUAUGGAUUCGCCGGCUAGGGUUGUUUAGCUUAGGGUUUAGAGUAAUCGUGCUGAUAACGUGUUGUGAAACUAGAGAAUGGAAUCUAUGUUUCUAUAUUAUUCAUAAACACAAAGAGCCCUUUAUAUAUAGGGAACUACACCGUCAUAGAAUAAUAGAAAGACUAAAGAAAGGAAAUACAAAUAUGAAAAUAGUACAAAUCAUAAUAUAAUAAGGAAAAAGGCAAGAUGCCGAUUCUCUCUCUCUAGCAUUGGACCG